GCCGACUACCGACGCCGUGUCCCGUCCCGUCAUUCGUGUGGCUUACGCCGCUAUUGCCUUUGAUGAAGUGCUUGUGUGCCGGUACCCGACCUACGGGAAUUGGUGCAUCGUACUCGGUUGCCUCGCGGUGGAUGCCUUCGGGCGUGCCACCGUGGCCAAGUGGCGCUUGCGGCGUUGCCUCGUGGUUCUGGCAYGUUUACRUGCCUGGUGCUAUCAAGGCAGCCUCGCUAGCGCUGUUGGUUUCGGAUGUUGCUCACGAUAAAGGCUCAUGGCCCUUUUUGUUGCCUAGACCCGAACCUACAAAGCUCUYUGAACCCGAACGUGUCGUAGAACGGGGUGUUGCCUCUGUGAUAUGCAACUGCCUGGACCGAUGCUAGUAAGUCGUAGGGGAGCGCUGUUGGUUUCGGACGUUGCUCACGAUAAGGUUGCCUAGACCCGAAMMUACAAAGCUCUCUGAACCCGAACGUGUCRUAGAACGGGGUGUUGCCUCUGCCUCUMSACAGUUAGUGGUAGGAUACGCAACAUCCUGGACCGAUGCUAGUAAGACGUAGGGGAGCUUGGCCCGCUCAAUUGCGACAACCGGCCCGGCUGUUGUCUGCCUUCACGGGCGGAUGGCCACCGAUGCUGGACGUCAAAGAGGACGUGCUACCUGGUUGAUCCUGCCAGUA
rnacentral:misc_RNA from 1 species